UCAACAAGAACAUCCACAUUUCUCAUGUGCGCAGACAAAAACCACAGAAGCAACACAGCAAGAUCAGAUGUUAAAGGGAUCCACGAUUAGCUGAACAUGGUGGCCUAAAUAUGUUCCAAGUUUCCUAUUAACUGAGAAAAAUGCUGUCUGAGAAACGCCAAAACUCAUAAAUACUUCAAAAAAACUUUGAUCUUUGUUAUAUUUUUCACUCAUGGAGUUCGCCAUUUUUUGGAGCAAUGCAUGCUGGGAUGAUGAGGCUUGGAUCCGUUCUGUACUGGGACCUACAGAGUAAACACAGGGAGGAUAACUCCCCCCCCCCGAGUUGUUGUUCAUCAUAAUGCGUUUGGUGCAAAUUUAGACAAUGUGACUCUGUGUAACUAAAAAAAGUGGGACAGACCCGAACACAACUUCCGCAGGACCCUCAACAUUUUUCUCCAGAACACUUUGAGUCAUUUGUAUGAGCAAAACUGACGAAGGCUCUAACAGCUUUCACCAGUCCGACA